AUUGAACGCUGGCGGCAGGCCUAACACAUGCAAGUCGAGCGGAUGCAGGGAGCUUGCUCCUGGAUUCAGCGGCGGACGGGUGAGUAAUACCUAGGAAUCUGCCUGGUAGUGGGGGAUAACGUCCGGAAACGGGCGCUAAUACCGCAUACGUCCUGAGGGAGAAAGUGGGGGAUCUUCGGACCUCACGCUAUCAGAUGAGCCUAGGUCGGAUUAGCUAGUUGGUGGGGUAAAGGCCUACCAAGGCGACGAUCCGUAACUGGUCUGAGAGGAUGAUCAGUCACACUGGGACUGAGACACGGUCCAGACUCCUACGGGAGGCAGCAGUGGGGAAUAUUGGACAAUGGGCGAAAGCCUGAUCCAGCCAUGCCGCGUGUGUGAAGAAGGUCUUCGGAUUGUAAAGCGCUUUAAGUUGGGAGGAAGAGCAGUAAGUUAAUACCUUGCUGUUUUGACGUUACCAUCAGAAUAAGCACCGGCUAACUUCGUG
rnacentral:rRNA from 1 species